rnacentral:lncRNA from 1 species
AAAAUUCCGUAGGUAGAGGUUAUAUAGAGAACGUCAGGCCAUUAAAAUUCAAGUAAGAACUAUUCUUCGUAGUACCGAGUUAAUACAACAUGCGACAUAGUACACGAGACUCAAAAUAAAGCUUAUACAUUGUAAAGAAUGUUGAUGUGGUAUCACUGGAAUAUUGAAUGAAGGAACUGGCUUCUAAGUUUAGUUUCUUCAAGCCUAGUUCACAAAAUUUCUAUUUCUUAGUUGUUGAGAAGAACACCUUCAUAAUGAGAACAUUGAAGUGAGGGUGUGAUGCAGUGUAGAGGGAAAUAGAGAAACUUGGAAAUAUUAUCUAUCUGAAUUUGUUUAUGGAUUAGUCCUCUCCAUAGUUGAGAAUAACAAAUUUUGUUGGCCCAAUUGAGUUGCAUCUUCUUGAAUUCUGAUCAUAUUGAAACCAAGGAAAGAUUAAUUACGUAUGUUUUGAAUGCAGGCUGCUUUCAGGGGAUAUCAAGUGCGGAAUCUUAUAUUAAUGGCAAGAUACUUUGAUAGCUUGGAGGUUAUGAAAGAUGCUAAAAAACUUAACGAGAUGUAUGACGCUUCUGGUUCUUCACGAUCUUCUUUGCGUCCUGUACAGGUUCCCGAAGAGACGAGUGCUUCUCUAUGUUUCAAAGCAGGACUUCAUCACCUUGAGUUAGGACUUGAUGACCUUGAGCUUGAUCAUGUUUCAGACGCCUGGUCUUGCUUUGAUGAAUCUUUUCGUUUAUUUGCUAAGAAACAAAAAGAGAAGGUCCGAUUUUAUUUUAGAUCCUAGAGAUCGGAA